AGAAUCAACGCUGGCGGCGUGCCUAACACAUGCAAGUCGAACGAGAAAGUGGAGCAAUCCAUUAGUAAAGUGGCGCACGGGUGAGUAACACGUGACUAACCUACCCUUGAGUGGGGGAUAACCUAGAGAAAUCUGGGCUAAUACCGCAUAAUACCUUCGGGUCAAAGGAGCAAUUCGCUUAAGGAGGGGGUCGCGGCCGAUUAGUUAGUUGGCGGGGUAAUGGCCCACCAAGACUAUGAUCGGUA
rnacentral:rRNA from 1 species